AGGUCAUGUAGCUGUCCUUUGUGGUUCAGGCAGCAACGUCCCUGGACGUUGUUUAAUUCCUCUAUAAAAAGAAAGACACUGACCUUAACUCUACCCACCCUCACAGGGCUGGUGGAAGAAUAAGUAAUGGAGAUGGCAGGAGAUCUCAGAGAAAGACGGCUCUGGAAGGAGUGAGGAGCUAUUCGCUAUCAUCCUGCCAGAAGUCUCACAGCACUGGGCUGCCUGAAUAGUCUAAAACAACCAGCUUGCAACCUCGCCCCAUCCAAAGACAGGGAUAAACCCACCUCCUGCUGAAGACAUCCCUGCUCUCUGACGAUCCCUUCUGACUUUUCUUAGCCUGAUUUGCUCCUUUUAUCACCACCUAACUACCUAUUCACUGAGUUUAUCUGUGGUACUCUCUAUCUCCCUUCUUACCUCGUCUGAAUAACAAAUCCAUGCCCAUCCUGCUGUCUCUGGACAGAUGUGACAAAUUCUCUUACAGACAUUGUAAGAUAAGUGCCUUGGAAUGACUGCCACCAUUCUGAUAAGUAAUUUCCUUCUUCACCUUAGAGUUUCCAUUUCCUACAUCACGCAUCACUGGUCAUAAAUAAAGCCAACAUGUGAACAAGGCUCGUCCGUAUAAGGAAUGGAUGUCCAAUAAUGACUCCUGAGUGGCUGCCCAUGCAGCCAACACAGUCCCCGGCCUGCCUGCACCAGUCACCCACUAUAUAACCAAGCCCCCUCCCCAGCUCCCUCCUCCUCUCCUCUGUUUGCUUUCCACCGAGCGGGCCACCACGCUUCUGUGGCUCUACAAUAAAAUCUCUCAUACAGCUC
rnacentral:lncRNA from 1 species